UUGAGUACACUGCCUUUCCUUCCAAAAGCCUUGGAGAUAAGGUUCAGAGUGCAAAUGUUCCUGGGAAGAAAUGACUACCCUUACAUUUUCUCUAAGGUUAUGUUGCCAAGGGAACAGAAUCUAUGGCCGGUCCUGCUACUUUGGAAAGGCAUCAAGUACAAGAUUGGGAAUGGCUUCUGUCAUUUGAGGAGUAGCCAAGCUAAGUUCAAAGAGGGUCAUCACCAGAAGAUGAGGAAACUGAGGCAAACAGGGUGAAGUGACUCGCCCAGAAUCACGAAAGUGUCUGAGGCCGGAUUUGAACUCAGAAAGAUUUGGCUUCCUGACUCCAAGCCCAGCACUAGAUGCACUGUGGCGCCACCUAGCAGCUAUACAUAAAAGUUAUUUCACGGAAAUAUUACAUAGAAGUUAAUGUCCUGUUUUCUCCUAAUUAAAUAAAAUUAUCUUUAACCGCU